rnacentral:rRNA from 1 species
UACAGAGGGUGCAAGCGUUAAUCGGAAUUAUUGGGCGUAAACGGCAUGUAGGUGGUUUUGUAAGUCUGAUGUGAAAGCCCUGGGCUUAACCUGGGAAAGUCGUUAGAUACUGCGAGACUUGAGUCGGUAAGAGGGUAGUGGAAUUUCCGGUGUAGCGGUGAAAUGCGUAGAGAUCGGGAGGAACACCAGUGGCGCAAGCGGCCCCCAAGCCUGAGCCUGACGCUGAAGCGCGACAGCGUGGGGAGCAAACGGG